rnacentral:rRNA from 1 species
GACGAACGCUGGCGGCGUGCUUAACACAUGCAAGUCGAACGGAAAGGCCCUGCUUUUGUGGGGUGCUCGAGUGGCGAACGGGUGAGUAACACGUGAGUAACCUGCCCUUGACUUUGGGAUAACUUCAGGAAACUGGGGCUAAUACCGGAUAGGAGCUCCUGCUGCAUGGUGGGGGUUGGAAAGUUUCGGCGGUUGGGGAUGGACUCGCGGCUUAUCAGCUUGUUGGUGGGGUAGUGACUUACCAAGGCUUUGACGGGUAGCCGGCCUGAGAGGGUGACCGGCCACAUUGGGACUGAGAUACGGCCCAGACUCCUACGGGAGGCAGCAGCGGGGAAUAUUGCACAAUGGGCGGAAGCCUGAUGCAGCAACGCCGCGUGCGGGAUGACGGCCUUCGGGUUGUAAACCGCUUUCGCCUGUGACGAAGCGUGAGUGACGGUAAUGGGUAAAGAAGCACCGGCUAACUACGUG